AGCUGACCAAGGUGGUGCAGGGAGCGGAGCUGCAGGCUGGCCGCUGCGGCUGUGGACGCACGAGCUGACGCAGCGGCUGCUGCAGAAGGUGCAGCAGCGCAAGCGUCUGCUGCUGGACCCCAAGCUGCGGCGCCGCACCGUCUACGCGGAGGUCGCGGCUGAGU